UACGUAGGUGGCAAGCGUUAUCCGGAAUUAUUGGGCGUAAAGCGCGCGCAGGUGGUUUCUUAAGUCUGAUGUGAAAGCCCACGGCUCAACCGUGGAGGGUCAUUGGAAACUGGGAGACUUGAGUGCAGAAGAGGAAAGUGGAAUUCCAUGUGUAGCGGUGAAAUGCGUAGAGAUAUGGAGGAACACCAGUGGCGAAGGCGACUUUCUGGUCUGUAACUGACAAUGAGGCGCGAAAGAGUGGGGAGCAAACAUG
rnacentral:rRNA from 1 species